CUGUUCCUUUUGAUAAUAGCUUAUGGACACUUUUACUGGAGCAAGAAAUUAGUAUCUUCUUGAGUCUUCUGUGUACACCACAAAAAACACUUCUGCAAAUCCACUACUCAAGUGCAGACCCACAGCUCCUUCCACAGCUGACAGAAAGAGGCUAUUCAGAGGGAGAGACCCCAUAAGGCAGUGUGAAUUUCUGAAGAGCCAAAGCCUGCCCAUCCCUUCAGCUGGAUCCUAGGAAAGCCUGGCCUCUUUCUCCUGAAGUCUGAGCAUCCAGGAGAAGAGAAGAUAGAAUAUCUACAGGAUGCUCAUUUGCAACCAAAUGUAACAGAGAGAUCCCCUUGACCUCAUAGGAGCUCUUCAAUCCUUAAAGGUUCCUACGGCAUUACUUCAGACGUAAAACACUGUAAACCGAAGCAAACGCGAGAGCUGCCAGCGCUGAAGGAAAGGACCCCGCGGUACUUGGCGCUCCCGCAGAGGGAGGCGCGGAGGAGCUCCGCUACCUGUUCUCCCCCGCGGGCACUAGAGGUCGCCAGCGGCACGGACACGGGGAGCGGCAGCGCUGCGGGGAGCUCCAGCGGCGCACAGCCUCCAGCCCUCUCCCCUCAC